UACGUAGGGGGCAAGCGUUGUCCGGAAUCAUUGGGCGUAAAGAGCUCGUAGGCGGCUGUUCGAGUCGGGUGUGAAACCCCAGGGCUUAACUCUGGGCCUGCAUUCGAUACUGGGCGGCUUGAGUCUGGUAGGGGGAUCUGGAAUUCCUGGUGUAGCGGUGGAAUGCGCAGAUAUCAGGAGGAACACCAGUGGCGAAGGCGGUGACCUGGGCCAAUAUUGACGCUAAGGUGCGAAAGCGUGGGGAGCAAACAGG
rnacentral:rRNA from 1 species